rnacentral:rRNA from 1 species
CAGUAGCCGCGGGAAAACGUAGGUGGCAAGCGUUGUCCGGAAUUAUUGGGCGUAAAGGGCUCGCAGGCGGUUUCUUAAGUCUGAUGUGAAGGCCCCCGGCUCAACCGGGGAGGGUCAUUGGAAACUGGGAAACUUGAGUGCAGAAGAGGAGAGUGGAAUUCCACGUGUAGCGGUGAAAUGCGUAGAGAUGUGGAGGAACACCAGUGGCGAAGGCGACUCUCUGGUCUGUAACUGACGCUGAGGAGCGAAAGCGUGGGGAGCGAACAGAAUUAGAUACCCCUGUAGUCCCUGUCUCUUAUAA